AGACUCAUAUUAGGACAGGGCUGGUGACCCCUUCAGAGCAGCAGCACCUUGGGAAGCCCUAGCUCCCUGUCUGUUGGAGGAGGCUGGUGUCACCCUCGUCUUUCAGAUAUUAAUUCGGCACAUCGGAAAAUAUAGACACAGUGCAGCUACUUCCUAUAUUUGAUACAAGACCUAAUUAAUGCCACAGCUACCGCUGUGGGCACUUAUUUUAUCCUCUUCUCCUCUUGUGAAAUAGAACAGACCACCAGAGACUUGCUCAAACAUCAACCAAGGCCCAAGAAAGGCAAGGCCACUUUGCAGUCAGUAACUAAAAUGUCAAAAGAAUAAAAUUUGUAUCUGAGACCACUCACAUGUAAGACCUUUACUGAAGUCAGGUGCCACAGCAAACCUGAGCCUCAGAACCCCUCUGAGCAAGCUGAACAUCCGUGCACCGUCUCAUUAGGAGCACCCAUGUGAAUUUACCAAAAGCAGCCAGACAGAACCACUAGCUUGGGGUGGGGAUAUAGUUCUGUGGUGCAGGAUUUGUCUAGCAAGUACAAGACUCUAGGUAUUCCACAGUUCGGGAAAUUUUGCAUUUUCCCCCACGUUCUUGGGAAUUCACAUUUCCUACUUGGUCUAAGAGGACCUGAAAAAGUUAACAAAGAAAACUCAAGUUAACCUAGAGCUUUUUGAAGGUUUUUAUAAAAAAUAAAAAAAAAAA
rnacentral:lncRNA from 1 species